UUCUCCCUGGACAUGUUUGAUCAGAGGCAGCUGGCAAAGAAAGACCACAGCUCCAUCCACUGAAUGCAGCCAGCCCUCUUUGCAAAGCUGUCUCAGGACACAGAAGACGUUUAGCCAUCUGUUCACAACCCGUGGCUAAGGCUCUUCUUGCAAACAGUGAAUGAUGGGAUAUGUCUGCUUCUUUUGAACAGGUGCUGAAUUGCUGUCCAGAUUUGAUUAUGGAUGAAGGCCAAUAAACUGAAGCUGAAUCCUGUUAAAAUGGAGGACUGCCACUAUAUAGUUCUUCUGUCCAGGAAUCGGGUGUUCAGCCUCUUCGAGAUGGGGCUUACUUAUUUAUUUGAUCUAUAUCCUGCCUUUUUCUUAGAAAAAGGA